GUAGUCCACGCCGUAAACGAUGCGCACUAGACCGGUGCGGUUUUGACGCCGUAUCGGUCGGAGUAAAAACGAUAAGUGCGCCGCCUGGGGAGUACGGUCGCAAGGCUAAAACUCAAAUGAAUUGACGGGGGCUCACACAAGCGGUGGAGCAUGUUGCUUAAUUCGAGGCAACGCGAAGAACCUUACCUGGGUUUGACAUGCUGGGAUCAACCCGAUGAAAGUCGGGCCACAGUCGCAAGACCGGAACCAGCACAGGUGCUGCAUGGCUGUCGUCAGCUCGUGCUGUGAAGUGUCAGGUUAAGUCCUUUAACGAGCGCAACCCCUAUCGUUAGUUGCUCGGCGCAAGCCAGUACUCUAGCGAGACUGCCGGUGUCAAACCGGAGGAAGGUGGGGAUGACGUCAAGUCCUCAUGGCCCUUACAUCCAGGGUUGCAAACGUGCUACAAUGGCGUAUACAGAGCGAUGCGAGGCCGCGAGGCGGAGCAAAUCGCAAAAAGUACGCCCCAGUUCGGAUUGCAGGCUGCAACUCGCCUGCAUGAAGUCGGAAUCGCUAGUAAUCGGAGAUCAGCUACGCUCCGGUGAAUG
rnacentral:rRNA from 1 species